UACAGAGGUGGCAAGCGUUGUUCGGAAUUACUGGGCGUAAAGGGCGCGUAGGCGGCCUUGUAAGUCCUGUGUGAAAUCCCCCGGCUCAACUGGGGAACUGCAUUUGUGACUGCAUGGCUGGAGUGCGGCAGAGGGGGAUGGAAUUCCGCGUGUAGCAGUGAAAUGCGUAGAUAUGCGGAGGAACACCGAUGGCGAAGGCAAUCCCCUGGGCCUGCACUGACGCUCAUGCACGAAAGCGUGGGGAGCAAACAGG
rnacentral:rRNA from 1 species